UACAGAGGGUGCAAGCGUUAAUCGGAAUUACUGGGCGUAAAGCGUGCGUAGACGGUUAUGUAAGUCAGGUGUGAAAGCCCCGGGCUCAACCUGGGAAUGCCAUUUGAGACUGCAUAGCUAGGGUACGGAAGAGGGAAGCGGAAUUUCAGGUGUAGCGGUGAAAAUGCGUAGAUAUCUGAAGGAACACCAGUGGCGAAAAGCGGCUUCCUGGUCCAGUACCGACGUUCAGGCACGAAAGCGUGGGGAGCAAACAGG
rnacentral:rRNA from 1 species